rnacentral:misc_RNA from 1 species
GAUGAAGAACGCAGCGAAAUGCGAUAAGUAAUGUGAAUUGCAGAAUUCAGUGAAUCAUCGAAUCUUUGAACGCACAUUGCGCCCGCCAGUAUUCUGGCGGGCAUGCCUGUCUGAGCGUCAUUUCAACCCUCAAGCAACUUCUGCUUGGUGUUGGGGAUCGGCCGUUAAACGCCGCCCCCGAAAUCUAUUGGCGAUCUCGCUGUAGCUUCCUAUGCGUAGUAGUAACAUCUCGCAUCCGGAGAGCGGCGCGGUCAUGCCGUAAAACACCCAACUUCUCAGGUUGACCUCAGAUCAGGUAGGAAUACCCGCUGAACUUAAGCAUAUCAAUAAGCGGAGGA